UAUAUAUAAUGAAAAAUGCCAAAGAAACGAAAAUUUGCCAAACUCAACAAUGUCAAACCCACAGACUCACAGAACGAAACACCUACACACUCACGAUACACACGUGUAAUAUUAUAUGAUGCACCGAUAACAUAUAUACACACAUAUAUACUUACAUAUACAAAUAUGCAAGGUAGCCACGGAUAGCGGAUACGAUCCCUUAGCAACUUACCUUAGUGGCUCCAUGGAAUCGGUGAGUAGCUUAUCAAUGUGCAAAAGGCAGGCAUCCAUAAGCUCCUCGCAAUGCGGUGGAUUCACUUGGAAGGAACCGGAAACGGGCUUAAAGUCCAGAAAUGGUCUGCAGGCAGAAAAAAGUUCCAUGGUCAGUUCAGUUUGGAUGCCAUUGGAGUGGCCAUGAUAAUUGUAUUUUUGUUGACUUACCCUCUGGAACCGAAGUAGGCAUCCGUAUCCGCAAAUGCCGAGCAAUAUUGCCGAAAAUAGGAAUUAAAUGGCGAUGCAAAGCAUUCAAAGCUGACACCGAAAUGCCUGUGAAGGCACUCAAAAACUGGCACUGGCAAAGCAGCCUGGGUGAGUUCCGCCUCCUGGGAGGAGUUGAGAGCAUUGCCCAAGAAGGUCUGAUAGCGCUUGAGCAGACACCAGACGCGUCCAAUGAACAGAUCAAACUUCUUGUCGUCGAAACAAUUGUGACGAUAGAGCUGCUCCAGCUUUUGGAGAUAGGUGAGGUUGAUAUACUGCGCAUCCGGCUGGUUGAUUGUCGCGGGCGUAUACUUGAUGAUCAUAUGAUCGCGAUCCUGAAGAUAUUCAAUGGCCGGCAUACGUGGCGAGGGCACUGCAAACUGUAUGGGAUAGCACCAGACCUUCUUUAGAUGCGGAGGAGGCGGUGGCGGCGUUGGUUCCGGUAUGCCAUGCUCCUUGAGCAGCUGCAGAUGGCGUUCCCGUAUUUUACGCGCAUGCUCCGCCGACAGAUGGUAGAUUUUAAUGCAUAACGUUUCCACGGAGCUUUUCACGGUCUCCACUAAAUGCGGUUCACAUUGGCGCUUCAGAUGCGCCAAACGAUCCUGGAAGUCCUCAUAGCUGGCGCCCACCGUGCGGCGCAACCAUUGAAAUGUGUCCUCCACAUUCCAUUUUACAACCUUCUUGGACUCUGCCGGCGCAGAACGAGACUCGAUGAUCUGCUUGGCCGCCUCCGCGUAGCGUGAGAGCUGUUUGCGUGCGUCGCCCGUGAAUUUGGGCUUGACAAUCUUAAUAGGUAUAUCGGCCAUAAUCUCUCGAUACAUGGCGCUGGAGAUUUCAGGCAGGCAGUUACUGGGCAGCAAUGGAUCACACCCGGUGUCAAUGACCUUACGUUCCAUGAGCCAGCGGUUAAAGGAGUCUCGCGGCGCUUUGAUGUUUUCCCUGCGCAUGCAUAAAUCCUCGUAUGUCUUGAGCAGCUUCAUGCUGAAGGCGGCGCGCAACGCUUCGAUCUCUGGAUGCGGCUGUGGUAGUAACGUGGGUGGACGCUCAACAAUUACUGCAUUGGUGCAAACCUCCAAAUCCCAGGGACCGGCUAGCACAAACUUUUUCAGAGGCGGCCCACCGUGCGGACCCAUGUGCUGCUGCUGUAGCUGCUGAUGAUGCGGGUGCGGGUGUAUGUGCAUGUCGUCCGAGGGCCGACGCUUCAAAUGAUGAUGUUGAUGCUGUUGCUGAUGCGGCGUCAUUGGCGUUGGGCCACCAACGCCAACGCCACCACCAUGGCAAAUGCCCAAUGGAUCGGUGAGCGGAUCAAAGGGACGUGCACCGGGCAUUUCCCAAAGCGAUUCGCCGGUAACCUUGUUCCAGUAGUACGGCCGAUUCUCGCGCUUUGACCAAAACUUACGCCAGCCCUGGUUCACUAACUCGGCGGUCAAUUCCUCACCAUAUCCACCAGGUCCAAGAGUUGGUGGCCCUUGCGGCGUAUGGGCCAUAGCCUCCAGCGUGGGCGGGACGUGGUGUGUUUUCGUGGGCGUCGAUGGUGACGAGCAGCUAGCCACAGGUGAGCUACCUGCGCUCAUCAUGUGUCCAGCUGCAUCCGCAGUACCUGUUGUUGUUACUGGUGCCGCUGUCGGCGAUGGCGUCAUAUUGUUGGAUGCACUCGCCGUCAGCUGAUCCCAAGCACUCUGUGCACUAGUGCUCGGCUGCAUCAUGGGACCCACUGAGCCCGUGGAGGCGAUCACCGAUGGUGGCACCUGCAGCGCUCCCAGAUUGUGCAUGUUGUUGUUGUUAGCUGCCAUUUGAGCUCUGCAAAAGCAAAACACAAACACACACACACACAUAUAUAUACAUUAUUAACAGCUCUUGUUUACGUUUUUCAAUCGCGAGAGGGAGAGCGAGAGCGUGCGCGCGAAUGUGAGAGUGCCCGCUGGUCUGACAAGCAGUAAAAUACUUGGGCUCCAGCUUAACGGCAACUAGUCGGCAAGAAACACUCAGCGAAGCAGCAACGCAAGCCGGAGAGUACGCGCAAGUGUCAGAGCAGAAGGAUCGUCAUAAAUAUGACGCAUCAAUGUGUACGCAUCUAUAUAUGAAUUAAUAUGCCGUUAUUAUAAAGCUAUGAGCACGCAUUUGCUGCCCCCACCCAACUCCCCUGAAAAACUCCCACAUGCUGGAGCUUUUGCUCUGGCUGAGAGCGGUGCGCAUGUGUUUUGUGAGCAACAAAGAGAGAGCAACUGAGAGCGAGAGCCGCUAUGACAGACACGAAUGAGAAAUCAAAACAAAUUGCAAAAGAAUAGAGAUUUUCUGCCUGCUUGUGUAUAUGUUUUGACGAGCGUGUACCUAGCGUAUGCGCACCGCACAAAUAAAAAUAUACAAAAAUUAUUUGCAGGCAACUUUGUUGCUGCAAUCCACACACACGCACACACACUAAUGCCGAUUGCAUUACUUGCCAUAAACAAUUGCAAUGACUUAUAAAAAAAUACACUAACAACAUUCAAGUGCUGCUCUGUGGUUUCGUGUCUACGUCAUGUCAGGCACAGAAAUAAUGGCGCGCUUUUUCCAUCAAAACACUCAGCACACUAAUUACAGCUAAAAAGAAAAUUGUCAUAUAAUUGAUAUUUUUAUUUUUGUUAUUUUGGUUGUCGCUUCGUUACAUUUUGGCGCGCAUACAUAUAUUUGUGGCAUUUGUCGAUUAUAUAGAUUUAUAAACAACAUUGUGACUGCACCGAAAAUUUCUCUACACUUUCUUUUCAACCACAUCAAUAUAAACUACGCCUUGCUGCUGCUGUUUCGUAUGGUCAUAUUUCGAACGCGUUUAAAUGCCACUAAACUCACCUAUUUUCAACUAUCCUAUUAUACAAAAUACGAACAACGUGUUUUCAAACAUUUAUAACUACUUCACCAGCUAAGUGUGACCAAUCGCCACAAAUGUUGGCAUAACUGGUGGCCGAAACGUAUCGGAAAUUUUGAAUUAUCAAAAAUAAAUUAUAAUCGUUAACUAUAAUAAUAUUUAUAACGGGCAAUAAUUAUUGAC